UACGAAGGGGGCUAGCGUUGUUCGGAAUUAUUGGGCGUAAAGCGCGCGCAGGCGGUUUCUUAAGUCUGAUGUGAAAGCCCACGGCUCAACCGUGGAGGGUCAUUGGAAACUGGGAGACUUGAGUGCAGAAGAGAAGAGCGGAAUUCCACGUGUAGCGGUGAAAUGCGUAGAGAUGUGGGGGAACACCAGUGGCGAAGGCGGCUCUUUGGUCUGUAACUGACGCUGAGGCGCGAAAGCGUGGGGAGCGAACAGG
rnacentral:rRNA from 1 species